rnacentral:rRNA from 1 species
AUUGAACGCUGGCGGCAUGCCUUACACAUGCAAGUCGAACGGCAGCACGGGGCAACCUGGUGGCGAGUGGCGAACGGGUGAGUAAUGCAUCGGAACGUACCUUUCAGUGGGGGAUAACGUAGCGAAAGUUACGCUAAUACCGCAUAUUCUGUGAGCAGGAAAGCAGGGGAUCGCAAGACCUUGCGCUGAUUGAGCGGCCGAUGUCAGAUUAGCUAGUUGGUGAGGUAAAGGCUCACCAAGGCGACGAUCUGUAGCGGGUCUGAGAGGAUGAUCCGCAACACUGGAACUGCGACACGGUCCAGACUCCUACGGGAGGCAGCAGUGGGGAAUUUUGGACAAUGGGGGCAACCCUGAUCCAGCCUUGCCGCGUGAGUGAAGAAGGCCUUCGGGUUGUAAAGCUCUUUCGGCCGGGAAGAAAUCGCACGGGCUAAUACCCUGUGUGGAUGACGGUACCGGAAUAAGGAGCACCGGCUAACUACGUGCCAGCCGCCGCCGUAACAC